AAGUCGUAACAAGGUCUCCGUAGGUGAACCUGCGGAGGGAUCAUUAACACGUAUCCAACACGUUCUUAAAACCAAACCCUUCGUGCUCCCUUUAUUUCCCUUCUAUUGAAUUGGGUAUAUGCAAGCCAUAAGGUAGACUUUAGACAUAGGUUCCUCGGAACCUAUUUCUAACUGCUUGCAGUACAACUAUAUAUGAAACCCACUAGUGGGUCGAGUAUAUGGAACCGAUUUGAUAAGGUGUAAACUUCAAGCUACCUUGGCUUUCAGUGCCAACCCGGCUCGACCCGGAGCCUGAUAGCCUUAGUAAACCCCCAUUUUUUUUAAACCCCUUUCAUAUAAUUGAACUGAUUUAUAAUUUUGCUUUUAAUUAAGUAAAAAUAUACGAAACGCGAACAACUCUUAGCAACGGAUAUCUUGGUUCUC
rnacentral:misc_RNA from 1 species